UACGUAGGGGGCAAGCGUUGUCCGGAUUUAUUGGGCGUAAAGAGCGUGUAGGCGGCCAGGUAGGUCAGCUGUGAAAACUCGAGGCUCAACCUCGAGACGCCGGUUGAAACCAUCUGACUAGAGUCCGGAAGAGGAGAGUGGAAUUCCUGGUGUAGCGGUGAAAUGCGCAGAUAUCAGGAAGAACACCCGUGGCUAAGGCGGCUCUCUAGUACGGUACUGACGCUGAGACGCGAAAGCGUGGGGAGCGAACAGG
rnacentral:rRNA from 1 species